GUCCUAGCCGUAAACGAUGAACACUAGGCGUAGUCGGUAUCGACCCCGGCUGUGCCGUAGCCAACGCAUUAAGUGUUCCGCCUGGGGAGUACGGCCGCAAGGCUAAAACUCAAAGGAAUUGACGGGGGCCCGCACAAGCAGCGGAGCGUGUGGUUUAAUUCGUCGCAACGCGAAGAACCUUACCAGGGCUUGACAUGCACCGGAAAACGGCGGAAACGUAGUCCUCCCGCAAGGGAUCGGUGUGCAGGUGUUGCAUGGCUGUCGU
rnacentral:rRNA from 1 species